rnacentral:rRNA from 1 species
UUAGACUAAGAAUAUAAGGGUAGAGCUUUAUAUUCAAAAAUUAAUUAGAAAUGAAUAAAUUAAAUAGUGAUUUAUAAAUUAGGCUUUUUAGUGGCUAUAUUUUUAAAGUAUUUUAACUAUUAGAAUUAAAAAAAUUUAAUUUUUAUUCUUUUGAAUAAACUAGUGGAAUAUUUUUUGUAUUGAAUAUAAAUUAGGAAUAAUGAAAAUAUUAGUAGAAAAUAAUUAUUAGAUUUAAAAUAAUAGAUUUUAUAGAAGAAUUUAAUAAAUAGUAAGGAAAAUUAAAGGAAUUCGGCAAAUUUUUUUUUCUUGCCUGUUUAACAAAAACAUGUCUGUAUGAAGUUGUAUAGAGUCUGGCCUGCCCAUUGAAGAAAUUUAAAAGGCCGCGGUAUAUUAA